GUUUGAUCCUGGCUCAGGACGAAACGCUGGCGGCGUGCUUAACACAUGCAAGUCGAGCGGAAAGGCCACUUCGGUGGUACUCGAGCGGCGAACGGGUGGGUAACACGUGAGUAAUCUGCCCUUCACUUGGGGAUAACCUCCGGAAAACGGUGGCUAAUACCCGAUACGACCAUUCCUCGCAUGAGGUGGUGGUGGAAAGUUUUUUCGGUGGAGGAUGUGCUCGCGGCCUAUCAGCUUGUUGGUGGGGUAAUGGCCUACCAAGGCUUCGACGGGUAGCCGGCCUGAGAGGGUGACCGGCCACACUGGGACUGAGACACGGCCCAGACUCCUACGGGAGGCAGCAGUGGGGAAUAUUGGACAAUGGGCGGAAGCCUGAUCCAGCAACGCCGCGUGAGGGAUGACGGCCUUCGGGUUGUAAACCUCUUUCACCGAUGACGAAGCGCAAGUGACGGUAGUCGGAGAAGAAGCACCGGCCAACUACGUGCCAGCAGCCGCGGUAAUACGUAGGGUGCGAGCGUUGUCCGGAAUUAUUGGGCGUAAAGGGCUCGUAGGCGGUUUGUCGCGUCGGGAGUGAAAACACCGGGCUUAACUCGGUGCUUGCUUUCGAUACGGGCAGACUAGAGGUAUGCAGGGGAGAACGGAAUUCCUGGUGUAGCGGUGAAAUGCGCAGAUAUCAGGAGGAACACCGGUGGCGAAGGCGGUUCUCUGGGCAUUACCUGACGCUGAGGAGCGAAAGUGUGGGGAGCGAACAGGAUUAGAUACCCUGGUAGUCCACACCGUAAACGUUGGGCGCUAGGUGUGGGGCCUAUUCCAUGGGUUCCGUGCCGCAGCUAACGCAUUAAGCGCCCCGCCUGGGGAGUACGGCCGCAAGGCUAAAACUCAAAGGAAUUGACG
rnacentral:rRNA from 1 species